AUUGAACGCUGGCGGCAGGCCUAACACAUGCAAGUCGAACGAGUGGCGGACGGGUGAGUAAUGUCUGGGAACCUGCCUGAUGGAGGGGGAUAACUACUGGAAACGGUAGCUAAUACCGCAUACCAUCGGAUGUGCCCAGAUGGGAUUAGCUAGUAGGGGGGGUAACGGCUCACCUAGGCGACGCUCCCUAGCUGGUCUGAGAGGAUGACCGGCCACACUGGAACUGAGACACGGCCCAGACUCCUACGGGAGGCAGCAGUGGGGAAUAUUGCACAAUGGUCGCAAGCCUGAUGGAGCCAUGCCGCGUGUAUGAAGAAGGCCUUCGGGUUGUAAAGUACUUUCAGCGGGGAGGCGUUACCCGCCGAAGAAGCCCCGGCUAACUCCGUGCCAGCAGCCGCGGUAAUAC
rnacentral:rRNA from 1 species